rnacentral:tRNA from 1 species
GCCCGGGUGGUGAAAUUGGUAGACACAGCAGACUUAAAAUUUGCCGACGCAAGUCAUGCGGGUUCGAUUCCCGCCCCGGGCA